rnacentral:rRNA from 1 species
UACGGAGGGAGCUAGCGUUAUUCGGAAUUACUGGGCGUAAAGCGCACGUAGGCGGCUUUGUAAGUUAGAGGUGAAAGCCUGGAGCUCAACUCCAGAAUUGCCUUUAAGACUGCAUCGCUUGAAUCCAGGAGAGGUGAGUGGAAUUCCGAGUGUAGAGGUGAAAAUUCGUAGAUAUUCGGAAGAACACCAGUGGCGAAGGCGGCUCACUGGACUGGUAUUGACGCUGAGGUGCGAAAAGCGUGGGGGAGCAAACAGG